UUGUUUCAGUAGCACAUAUACUAAAACUGGAAUGAAACAGAGAAACAUGGGCCCUGAGCAAGAAUGACAUGCAAAUUCAUGAAGUGUUCUAUACUAAG
rnacentral:snRNA from 1 species